UGAGUCAGAUUCAGAUGUUGCAGCCUUCUCAUUCACAGCAUAAUCUGAUACAAGGCUUUUCUGAAAACCACUUAAUAUCUCAGGCGCAGAUGCUUCAGCAGCAAUUACAGCGCCGUCAAAACUUCAAUGAUCAACAGCAAUUGCUGCAGCCACAGCUUUAGCAGCACCAAGAAGUGAACUCGCAGUUUCAACAUCAAUAGCAAACUAAGACCAUAUCUGGUCUCUCUCAGAUGGCUUCAGCCACACAGCCCCAUCUUUCUCAUUUGCAAGUCCUAAGUUCGACUGGUUCCCCGCAAACCUUUUCUGAUAUACUGGGUAACCAUGUCAAUGCAUCUAGUAAUUCUAAUAUGCAAAGUCUGUUGAGUUCAUUUUCCCGUGAUGGAGCAUCUGCUGUCCUAAACAUGCAUGAAAUUCACCUUCUAGUAUCUUCAUCCUCAUCAUCUAAGCGAAUUGCUCUAGAAUCUCAGCUCCCUUCUCGGGUUACUCCAUUUGUGGUGUCCUAGCCUGAGGAUGUGAUAGCGCACAAUACAAAGGUCUCAGAUCUUUCCUCUUUACUGCCACCUUUUCCUAGUAGAGAAUCGUUUUCUGAUUAUAGAGGAGUAGA
rnacentral:misc_RNA from 1 species